AACGAACGCUGGCGGCAGGCUUAACACAUGCAAGUCGAGCGCCCCGCAAGGGGAGCGGCAGACGGGUGAGUAACACGUGGGAACGUACCUUUUGCUACGGAAUAGCUCCGGGAAACUGGAAUUAAUACCGUAUGUGCCCUUCGGGGGAAAGAUUUAUCGGCAAAAGAUCGGCCCGCGGCUGAUUAGCUAGUUGGUGGGGUAAUGGCCUACCAAGGCGACGAUCAGUAGCUGGUCAGAGAGGAUGAUCAGCCACACUGGGACUGAGACACGGCCCAGACUCCUACUGGAGGCAGCAGUGGGGAAUAUUGGACAAUGGGCGCAAGCCUGAUCCAGCCAUGCCGCGUGAGUGAUGAAGGCCUUAGGGUUGUAAAGCUCUUUCGCUAGGGAAGAUAAUGACGGUACCUAGAGAAGAAGCCCCGGCUAACUUCGUGCCAGCCGCCGCCGUAACAC
rnacentral:rRNA from 1 species